UGGGGAAUAUUGGACAAUGGGCGCAAGCCUGAUCCAGCCAUGCCGCGUGAGUGAUGAAGGCCCUAGGGUUGUAAAGCUCUUUCACCGGUGAAGAUAAUGACGGUAACCGGAGAAGAAGCCCCGGCUAACUUCGUGCCAGCAGCCGCGGUAAUACGAAGGGGGCUAGCGUUGUUCGGAUUUACUGGGCGUAAAGCGCACGUAGGCGGACUUUUAAGUCAGGGGUGAAAUCCCGGGGCUCAACCCCGGAACUGCCUUUGAUACUGGAAGUCUUGAGUAUGGUAGAGGUGAGUGGAAUUCCGAGUGUAGAGGUGAAAUUCGUCGAUAUUCGGAGGAACACCAGUGGCGAAGGCGGCUCACUGGACCAUUACUGACGCUGAGGUGCGAAAGCGUGGGGAGCAAACAGG
rnacentral:rRNA from 1 species